rnacentral:rRNA from 1 species
UACGUAGGUGGCAAGCGUUGUCCGGAAUUACUGGGUGUAAAGCGCGUGUAGGCGGGAGGCCAAGUCUGUGGUGAAAUCGCCUGGCUUAACUGGGCGGGGUCCAUGGAAACUGGUCACCUGGAGGUCGGUAGAGGCAAGUGGAAUUCCCGGUGUAGUGGUGAAAUGCGUAGAGAUCGGGAGGAACACCAGUGGCGAAGGCGGCUUGCUGGGCCGGACCUGACGCUGAGACGCGAAAGCGUGGGGAGCAAACAGG